GACAGAGGGGGCAAGCGUUGCUCGGAAUCACUGGGCGUAAAGCGCACGUAGGCGGACUCUUAAGUCGGUGGUGAAAUCCUGGAGCUCAACUCCAGAACUGCCUUCGAUACUGGGAGUCUUGAGUCCGGGAGAGGUGAGUGGAACUGCGAGUGUAGAGGUGAAAUUCGUAGAUAUUCGCAAGAACACCAGUGGCGAAGGCGGCUCACUGGCCCGGUACUGACGCUGAGGUGCGAAAGCGUGGGGAGCAAACGGG
rnacentral:rRNA from 1 species